ensembl:lncRNA
CCUGACAAGUAUCCAUGAGCAUGCAGGUUCCAUCCCCGGCCUUGCUUAGUGGGUUAAGGAUCCAGGGUUGCUGCAAGCUGUGAUGUAGGUCACAGAUGUGGCUCAGAUCCAGCGUUGCUGUGGCUGUGGUGUAGGCUGGUAGCUGGAGCUCUGAUCUGACCCCUAGCCCAGGAAACUUCCAUAUGCCUUGGGUGUGACCUUAAAAAGAAAAAAAAUAACAAAUCCAGCAACCAGACUGCAGCCUGCCAACCUGUCUUUUUUCUGUGUAUCCCCUUAUCUUUAAAUAUUAGUGAUAUUAUAUUGAGACAAUUUUUAAAGUAUUACAGAAUUUGUAAUGUGAAGCACAAAUAAUCACAGUUUCCCCAGAAAUCUGGGAGAACUAGAUGCCCUGGAACGUGACAUUGUAAAGCCCAGGGCUAAGACUCAAUGACUCCGCUAGAUAUUCUCAUGUUCAGGUUUAUUUUCUGACGUCUCAGUGCUGCUAGAAAUGGAACUCUUGAGAAUUGCAGUUUUCUUUCCACACCGAAAAUGCGGUCUAAUUCAGUGGACAUUUUUGCAGGUUGAAAUCGGUCAUCCCCCCUUGGCCAUUAGCUAGAACCCAUUGGGGGCUUGCUCUGGUUUCGUUUUCUGAUCCUUUUCUCUGGAGAAAGGAAAGCAAAGACGAGGGGCAUUGGCCAAACAAGUCUGGCCACUCAGUGUCGAGGUUCUCAGAUAAGAAGGAUCUAAAGGACUUCCCAUGGGCGUGAGGGAAGUUGCACACGCCAUCUGGGGAAGAAGACCAGGAAAUCCCUUCUUGUUUUCAAACAGCAGUGAGCCACCGGGGAUGGCUCUGUGAGGCUCAGGGGGACCUCGGCGGGGAGGCGCUGGUCAGGGGGUUAAGCUGCACUCUGCUCAGAGCUGCCAGUCCUGCCUGACCCUCCCCAAGAGCCCUGCCUGGCUCUCCCUUCCCCGAGCAUGAGGCCGAGGAGCAAACGGCCUUAUAGCAGAGACCUGGAAGUUUGUUAGACAUCUGAUCCGCGCAGGAGCCAGACGGGGGACAACGGCGCUGGGCAGGUUUCUUUUAUACAAUAGCUGUGAUGUGUGUUAGGCAUGCAAAGCAGAUGGGGUCAAGGGCUUUGUACCUGCAGCCUGUACGUCAAGUUGAUGAGACUGUGUUUAAUGAGACUGAGUGUCAGGAAGCUCGCGGAGACUCUUUCAGGAUUCCCUCUAUAAUAAAGAGAGCUCUCCUUUCCUUUUUCUUUCUUUUCAAGGCGUUUCCCCAUCCGUGAGCCGGAUAAUAACAAAGAGACCAGGGUGCUCAGGAAUUGCCGUGUGGCUGUUUCCAGGUCGGGCAGGCACGUUGUGGUUGGGCUGAGGAUGGGGGAGCAACCCCUGGGUGUAGCUGGUGAUGGGCUCAGUUAUCCUCAGCCCCCAGGUGGUCCUUUAAUGUCAAAUGCAAGCUGCCACCUCCUACCCACAACUGAGGGGAAGGGGGUUCACAAGGCAGCGUGAGAAGGAGGUCGGGGAAAGCGCUGGGAUUGAUUAGAGCAGGCAGGCUUCUUUGAGUGCUCUCGAUGCGAGGGAAUGCCCUGUGUGGUUUGCUUAAUCCACGUUUUUCUCGUACGUUGUAGAAAGCCAGGCCACGCCGCUUCACUGCAGCUCAGCUUUCCCUUCCUAAAGGGCUGAUGCUCUGAAGCUUUCAUUUUUGAAUCACACACAUCACACACGACUCUGUCGGUACCGUAAUCGAAUAUGUCUACGAGUUUUUCAAGUCCUGCUCACCCCAUGCACGUUCGUUGUUGGUUUUUUUUUUUUUUUCCUCUCUUCCCCAAAGUUAUCCCAUCAAUCGUUUGCUGUGUAUCUUGUCAGUUACAUGACUUAUUUUUCGACCUUCCAACUCUUAGGACAAGCCAGGGCACAUAGAAGUACAAGAAAUUCUCCUUGUCAGAGGCACGUAUUGGUCUUUAAUAACACCUUUCCCUCCCUGGAAGGAACAAAUAAUACCAUGGAGAAUGUGAACAGCUCUUUUAUACUUAGAAACAUCUGAAAGCGUUUUAUUCAUUUUCACUAUUAUUAUUUUUGUGUGGGUUUUGGCUUUGGUAAUGAAUAACAUUCAUAAUACCUUUCCAGGGAGUAAAGUCUAGGUUUUUCAGGGAGCAGUUUGGGUUUCUCUCUUGAAAGCCAUGAAAGGCGUAUUGUUCUGGGAAAUAAAAGAAAAGAAAAUGAACUAGAUAGAUAGAUGGAUAAAAGAGAUGGAUAGGUAGAUAGAUAAGUUGAUAACGCCUUGAAAAUUAACUAGAUAGAUAUAUGGAUGGAUGGAUGGAUGGAUGGAUGGAUGGAUGGAUGGAUGGAUAGAGAUAGCUGAUAGCUGACCAGCUAGAUUAAGUGGUUGGCUCUGGGAAGAUGGGGACAGGGUGGAAGAGACUCUUUUUUUUACUUAAUGGAUAAUAAAUAUGUUUAACAGAUGAGUUCAUUUUCUAUUUCUUUUAGCUUUCUGUAAAAAGGUGGCCUUUUAUUCAGCCCCACCCCCAUACGUUGUUAUGAGACACGUGAAUAAGAAAAAAAAAAUCACUAUGAACAAGUCGGUAUGGGUCAUGGAGAGAGGAUUCAGGAAAGCAAUAUCAAACUAGAAAAAUCACAACAUACUUUCAGCUGCAUCUUGGUAUUUUCUUGCCCUUUCUGAGCUUUCUGUAUCCCAAACUAGAAGGCCAGGUGGCCCCGCUGAUUUGGGACGUGGUGCUUUCUGGUCCCUCCUGCUAAAUUUGCCUGCCUCAGUUCUUUCUCCAGAACAUUUAAUUUAUCCUUUCACCCUACCGCACAGUGUUAGCUCCCAGUAGAGACUUCCUCUUUCUUCACAUCGCAGGUGAAGUAGGUUGCUUGUUUCCAUUUUAUGGAAUUCAAAACGGAGAGGCUCAGAAGUUUCAUUGUUUGCCCAGCAUCACAUGGUGAAUCUUUAGGGGGCACUGAGAUGCGACCAAGUCCAGAUCUCUGGCUUUCCAUAGAAAACCAACCUCAUUCUUAGUCAAUAAUGUGAGGCUAAAAAGCAUGCAGUAUAGGGAAUUCAUCGUGGCUCAGCAGUUAACAAACUCAACUAGCGUGUUUAAUCCCUGGCAUUGCUCAGUGGGUUAAGGAUGCAGUGUGUGUAGGUCGCAGAUGCGGCUCGGAUCCCGCAUUGCUGUGGCUGUGGUGUGGGCCGGUGGCUACAGCUCCAAUUGGACCCCUUGGCUGGGAACCUCCAUAUGCCAUGAGUGCAUCCCUAAAAAGACAAAAAUGACUAAAAAAAAAAAAAAGUCAUGCAGAAUAGAGAAUUAAUGUGACUAGCUGGCUAGCUAUCAGCUUUGUAGCCACAUGGAUGCACAAUUCUGCUGGAAGUCUGUAGAGAGAUCAAGCUAUUGCCUGAUCUAGAAUUUAGCAGAUUCUAACACUUGUGGUCCAUUGGUGUCACCCCAGAAUCUUAAAAAAAUAACAGUGCCCAUACACUUCUCUGGAACAACUGAGACUGAAUGUCUGGGAAAGGGGCCUCGGCAUGGUUUUUGGUCUGUUUGUUUUGGUUUUUAAAUCUCUGAAGUGACUCUUUUAUGCAGUGAGGGUUGAGAACCGCUGCAUCCUAACUGUUAAGAAAUAAAGUCUAGGAGUUCCGACAUGGCCCAGCAGUUAACGAACCCAACUAGCAUCCAUAAGGUUUGAUCCAUGGCCUUACUCAGUGGGUGAAGGAUCGAUCCAGCGCUGCCAUGAGCUGUGGUAUAGGUCACAGACGAGGCUCAGAUCCCAUCUUGCUGUGGCUUGUGGUGUAGGCUGGCAGCUACAGCUCUGAUUUGACCUGGGAACCUCCCUAUGCUGCGGGUGCGGCC